AUUGAACGCUGGCGGCGUGCUUAACACAUGCAAGUCGAACGGAGUUUUUAAGAGGAAGUUUUCGGAUGGAAUUUUAGGAACUGAGUGGCGGACGGGUGAGUAACGCGUGGGUAACCUGCCUUCUACAGGGGGAUAACCGCUAGAAAUGGCUGCUAAUACCGCAUAAGCGAACAGUGUCGCAUGACCCCGUGUGAAAUACGAUAGUGGUAUGAGAUGGACCCGCGUUUGAUUAGAUAGUUGGCGGGGUAAUGGCCCACCAAGUCAGCGAUGGGUAGCCGGGAUGAGAGGCUGAACGGCCACACUGGGACUGAGACACGGCCCAGACUCCUACGGGAGGCAGCAGUGGGGAAUAUUGGGCAAUGGGGGAAACCCUGACCCAGCAACGCCGCGUGAAGGAAGAAGGUCUUCGGAUUGUAAACUUUUGUCCCGCGGGAAGAAAAAAAUGACGGUACCGCGGGAGGAAGCCCCGGCUAACUACGUGCCAGCCGCCGCGGUAAAAC
rnacentral:rRNA from 1 species